GACGAACGCUGGCGGCGUGCUUAACACAUGCAAGUCGAACGGAAAGGCCCUGCUUUUGUGGGGUGCUCGAGUGGCGAACGGGUGAGUAACACGUGAGUAACCUGCCCUUGACUUUGGGAUAACUUCAGGAAACUGGGGCUAAUACCGGAUAGGAGCUCCUGCUGCAUGGUGGGGGUUGGAAAGUUUCGGCGGUUGGGGAUGGACUCGCGGCUUAUCAGCUUGUUGGUGGGGUAGUGGCUUACCAAGGCUUUGACGGGUAGCCGGCCUGAGAGGGUGACCGGCCACAUUGGGACUGAGAUAAGGCCCAGACUCCUACGGGAGGCAGCAGUGGGGAAUAUUGCACAAUGGGCGGAAGCCUGAUGCAGCAACGCCGCGUGCGGGAUGACGGCCUUCGGGUUGUAAACCGCUUUCGCCUGUGACGAAGCGUGAGUGACGGUAAUGGGUAAAGAAGCACCGGCUAACUACGUG
rnacentral:rRNA from 1 species